ensembl:snRNA U6 U6 spliceosomal RNA
GUGCUCUCUUCAACACCACAUAUACUAUUUGGAACUGUACUGAGAAGCUCAUGGCCCCUGUGUGAGUAUGAUAUGCAUAUCCAUGAAGCAUUCCAUAUUUUU